UGUUUUUUCUGUUACAUGUAGGACCAGGACACUUCUCUUCAUCUUGCCGCCUGUCUGGGUCACGUGGCACAUGUGGAACGGCUGCUUUGUUACCGCGCAAACAUACAGGCGAAAAACAAGUUUGGAAAAAUCCCGAUAGAGCUGGCGCGGAACAUGAAGGCUUCCGAACCCGAGAACACAGCUCACGCCGAGACCGUCUUUCUACUGGAGAUUAGGCAGAGGAAGACAUUCAACAGUUCACCCCUGAGGUUGAGUCAACCCUGCACUUCGCGGCGUUUUAUGGCCUGGAGUCACUGGUCAGGAAUCUGGUGCUAAAGGACAGGGCCGAAGUCAACGCACAGGGCACUCAGAAGAGUGGUGAUUCUGCACUACACGCAGCAUCGCUAGGAGGCCACACCCCUUGUGCAAAGAUCCUGGUCGAAAAUGACGCAGACGUCAACAUCAGAAACAAGACAGGGGACAGCCCACUACACCAUGCCGCGGCUAGAGGGCACACUGCCACAGCGUACUAUCUAAUCCAAAAUGGUGCCGACUUCGAUGCUUUAAACGAGGCCGGGGAAACCCCGCUCCACCAUGCCGGGCUCUACGGACAUUCCCACACGGUCGCUAUGCUGGUGCAACAAGGGGCAGACAUCCUCAUUCAAAGCAAGAAGGGCACCACGGCCCUGCACCACGCGGCAGGGGCAGGGUACGCACCGGCUGUGGACGCGCUGAUAGACCUCAGGGUGGACAUGGACGCCGUGGACGAGG